AUAAAACAGCAAAGCCUGGGAAUUCUGAAAUCCCUUUUCCUCAUUCCUCUGGAAUAGCAAAGCGAGUUUCAAACAUUCCAGGCAGAGCUGGAUCCCAAUGUCGUUUAAAGGUUGGUACCUGAGCUUUCCAGGAUUUCUGGAUCUCUGUUUUUAUUUACUGCCUGCGGGGGAAAUGAAGGAAAACAAAGGGAGGGAAAAAGGGGGGGAAAAAAAUAGGAUUUUGUAGGAUUUUGGGGUGUUUUGGUGGGGAGUGAGCUGCAACCAAGCCCAAAAAUCCCGGCUGGGUUUGACUGGAGCACCCAGACACCCACAACAUUCCCACUGAUUCGGGAAUAAAGGAGAUAAUUCCCAAAUCCAGAUUUGGGAGUCAUCUUUCCUUCACCUAUAAAACUCCUCAGCAGCUUAUCAGACCUGAGCCAACCCAAGCUGGAUUUUAUUUCUUCUUUUUUUUUUUUUUUUAGAGCUGCUGCUUAUUUUAAAAAAAAAUAUAUAAAUUCUUUAAAUCCCUGUGAUAUUAGGGGAAAAAUCCUAUUUAUUUCUCGGGAAGCAGCGCUCCGUGCCUGGAAGUGCCCCUGUUGCAUCUCCAAAUCUGAAUUGUGGUGGCAAAAAAAAUUCAAUUAUUGUCCCCUCGCCAAAAUUUGGGGUUUCGGGGGGUGUUUAGGGGGGCAGCAGCUCCGAUGCCGGUGGUUUUCCUGGAAAAGCUGGAUUUCCUUCCACCACGCCCCUUGUGGGGAUUGUCACCUUUGUCCCCUGGGGAUUUUGGGGGAUUGAUCUGAGGUUUCCUGGAUGCUCCAGGUUCCCCUGGCCAGGGGGAGCUGGGGAUUUGGGCACCCCAAAACAGGGGUGGGAACCCCCUUCUGGAACAUUCCAUCCCCGGGGCUCUGCAAAGGCCACCAGAGGUGUCACCAGGUGUUACCAGGUGUGUCACCAGAGGUGUCACCAGAGGUGUCACCUGCCCUGAGGACCCACAGGUCCUUGGGGACACAGCCAAAGGACCGACCCCCCUGGCUUGGGGGAGGGGGCCCACCCCAAACCUGCCAGGACCUGGAUUUGGGGUCACCCCCGGGCUGGGGACAGCCCCCACCUCUGAAGGGACAAUCGUCCCGCUCCUGUCCUGGCCAGCGGGAUGGAAUCCAUCCAUGGGGCAGGGGGAAUCCAUCCAUGGGGCAGGGGGAAUCCAUCCAUGGGGCAGAGGGAAUCCAUCCAUGGGGCAGGGGGAAUCCAUCCAUGGGGCAGGGGGAAUCCAUCCAUGGGGCAGGGGGAAUCCACUGGGAGACCCCCGGUCCUGGGCAGGGGUGGGGGGCUCCCCUGUGGGGGCUCCUCCCACACCUGGAAGGUUUUCCUUGUCACACCUGGGGGGUUCUGUUCCUCACACCUGGAGGAUGCUCUUCCCCACACCCAGGGCUCUCUGCCACACCUGGAAGGUUUUCUUCCUCACACCUGGAGAAUUCCCUUCCUCACCUCUGGAAUAUUCCAUUCCCCACAUCUGGAAUAUUCCCUUCCUCACACCUGGAGAAUCCUCUUCCUCACCCCCGGAAUAUUCCAUUCCUCACAUCUGGAAUCUUCCAUCCCUCACAUCUGGAAUAUUCCAUUCCUCACACCUCUAAUAUUCUCUUCCUCACCCCUGGAGAAUUCCCUUCCUCACCUCUGGAAUAUUCCACUCCUCACAUCUGGAAUAUUCCAUUCCUCACACCUGGAAUAUUCUCUUCCUCACACCUGGAGAAUUCCCUUCCUCACAUCUGGAAUCUUCCAUCCCUCACAUCUGGAAUGUUCCAUUCCCCACCUCUGGAAUAUUCCCUUCCUCACCUCUGGAAUAUUCCCUUCCUCACCCCUGGAGAAUCCUCUUCCUCACCCCCGGAAUAUUCCAUUCCUCACAUCUGGAAUAUUCCAUCCCUCACCUCUGGAACAUUCUCACCUCUGGAAUAUUCCCUUCCUCACCUCUGGAAUAUUCCCUCCCUC
ensembl:lncRNA